GAGGAAAGAGGGAGGAGGGAGGAAUACAGGAAAGUCGAGCGAACAGAUGAGGAGCUUGGGCCUCUGACGGGAGCGGCGGACGGGGGAGUAACACGUGGAGAAGCUACCUAUAAGACUGGGAUAACUUCGGGAAACCGGAGCUAAUACCGGAUAAGAUAUUGAACCGCAGUGGUCAAUAGUGAAAGACGGUUUUGCUGGCACUUAUAGAUGGAUCCGCGCCGCAUUAGCUAGUUGGUAAGGUAACGGCUUAGGAAGGGAACGAUGCGUAGCCGACCUGAGAGGCUCCUCGGCCACCCUAGAACUGAGACACGGUCCAGACUCCUACGGGAGGCAGCAGUAGGGAAUCUUCCGCAAUGGGCGAAAGCCUGACGGAGCAACGCCGCGUGAGUGAUGACGGUCUUCGGAUCGUAAAACUCUGUUAUUAGGGAAGAACAACUGUGUACGUAACUAUGCACGUCUUGACGGUACCUAAUCAGAAAGCCCCGGCUCCCUACGUC
rnacentral:rRNA from 1 species